rnacentral:rRNA from 1 species
GUACCGGCUAACUACGUGCCAGCAGCCGCGGUAAUACGUAGGGUACAAGCGUUGUCCGGAAUUAUUGGGCGUAAAGAGCUCGUAGGCGGUUCGUCGCGUCUGCUGUGGAAACGCAAGGCUCAACCUUGCGCGUGCAGUGGGUACGGGCGGACUAGAGUGCAGUAGGGGAGUCUGGAAUUCCUGGUGUAGCGGUGAAAUGCGCAGAUAUCAGGAGGAACACCGGUGGCGAAGGCGGGACUCUGGGCUGUAACUGACGCUGAGGAGCGAAAGCAUGGGGAGCGAACAGGAUUAGAUACCCUGGUAGUCCAUGCCGUAAACGUUGGGCACUAGGUGUGGGGCUCAUUCCACGAGUUCCGCGCCGCAGCUAACGCAUUAAGUGCCCCGCCUGGGGAGUACGGCCGCAAGGCUAAAACUCAAAGGAAUUGACGGGGGCCCGCACAAGCGGCGGAGCAUGCGGAUUAAUUCGAUGCAACGCGAAGAACCUUACCAAGGCUUGACAUACACUGGAAUGUGCCAGAGAUGGUUCAGCCCUUUUGGGCUGGUGUACAGGUGGUGCAUGGUUGUCGUCAGCUCGUGUCGUGAGAUGUUGGGUUAAGUCCCGCAACGAGCGCAACCCUCGUUCUAUGUUGCCAGCACGUGAUGGUGGGAACUCAUAGGAGACUGCCGGGGUCAACUCGGAGGAAGGUGGGGAUGACGUCAAAUCAUCAUGCCCUUUAUGUCUUGGGCUUCACGCA